rnacentral:lncRNA from 1 species
CAUACAGACCCUCGUUCAAAUUUUGAUGAUUUCUUUAAUGCUGUGUUAACUGUUUUUCAAAUUGUCACAGGUGAAGAUUGGAACAAUGUAAUGUAUGAUGGAAUCAAUGCAUAUGGAGGAGCAUUGAAUGCAAAAGGAGUUUCAGUUUCAUUAUACUUUAUUUUGAUUGUGUGCCUUGGAAAUUUUGUUGUAAUAAAUGUGUUUUUGGCCAUUGCUGUUGACAACAUAUCACUGACUGCCGAUGAAAUAGAAGAUGAAGCUGAAGAAAAUUUAUACCGUGAAAAUCAUAUAAA